AUUGAACGCUGGCGGCAUGCCUUACACAUGCAAGUCGAACGGCAGCACGGGGGCAACCCUGGUGGCGAGUGGCGAACGGGUGAGUAACGCAUCGGAAUGUACCCAGUAGUGGGGGAUAACUAGUCGAAAGACUAGCUAAUACCGCAUACGCACUGAGGUGGAAAGCGGGGGAUCGCAAGACCUCGCGCUAUUGGAGCAGCCGAUGUCCGAUUAGGUAGUUGGUGGGGUAAAGGCCUACCAAGCCUGCGAUCGGUAACUGGUCUGAGAGGACGACCAGUCACACUGGGACUGAGACACGGCCCAGACUCCUACGGGAGGCAGCAGUGGGGAAUUUUGGACAAUGGGCGCAAGCCUGAUCCAGCAAUGCCGCGUGUGUGAAGAAGGCCUCGGUGUAAG
rnacentral:rRNA from 1 species